GAUCCUGGCUCAGGAUGAACGCUAGCGGCAGGCCUAACACAUGCGAGUCGAGGGGCAGCACGUUAAAGAGUUUACUCUUUAUGGUGGCGACCGGCGGACGGGUGCGUAACGCGUAUGCAACCUGCCUGACACAGGGGGAUAAUCCGAAGAAAUUUGGUCUAAUACCCCAUAAUACCGAUAUAGGCAUCUAUGUUUGUUGAAAGCUUUGGUGGUGUCAGAUGGGCAUGCGUUGUAUUAG
rnacentral:rRNA from 1 species